AGUGAACGCUGGCGGUAGGCCUAACACAUGCAAGUCGAACGGCAGCACAGUAAGAGCUUGCUCUUACGGGUGGCGAGUGGCGGACGGGUGAGGAAUACAUCGGAAUCUACUUUUUCGUGGGGGAUAACGUAGGGAAACUUACGCUAAUACCGCAUACGACCUACGGGUGAAAGCAGGGGAUCUUCGGACCUUGCGCGAUUGAAUGAGCCGAUGUCGGAUUAGCUAGUUGGCGGGGUAAAGGCCCACCAAGGCGACGAUCCGUAGCUGGUCUGAGAGGAUGAUCAGCCACACUGGAACUGAGACACGGUCCAGACUCCUACGGGAGGCAGCAGUGGGGAAUAUUGGACAAUGGGCGCAAGCCUGAUCCAGCCAUACCGCGUGGGUGAGGAAGGCCUUCGGGUUGUAAAGCCCUUUGUUGGGAAAGAAAAGCAGCAGGUUAAUACCCCGCUGUUCUGACGGUACCCAAAGAAUAAGCACCGGCUAACUUCGUG
rnacentral:rRNA from 1 species